ACAGGUGUGACGCAGGAAGGUAGCCCAAGCCAGGCGAUGGUUGUCCUGGUGCAAGUGCGUAGGCCGAACCGUAGGCAAAUCCGCGGUUCAUACAGGCUGAGACACGAUGCGGAUAAAAAGUGGGUGAUCCUAUGCUGCCAAGAAAAGCAUCGACGCGAGGUUCAAGCCGCCCGUACCCCAAACAGACUCAGGUGGUCAGGUAGAGAAUACUAAGGAGAUCGAGAGAAUCGUGGUAAAGGAACUCGGCAAAAUGCCCCCGUAACUUCGGGAGAAGGGGGGCCACCCGCUUAUACGGACUUGCUCCGGAAAGGGUGUGGUGGCCGCAGAGACUAGUGGGUAGCGACUGUUUACUAAAAACACAGGUCCGUGCCAAGUCGCAAGACGAUGUAUACGGACUGACGCCUGCCCGGUGCUGGAAGGUUAAGAGGACCGGUUAGCCGCAAGGCGAAGCUGAGAAUUUAAGCCCCAGUAAACGGCGGUGGUAACUAUAACCAUCCUAAGGUAGCGAAAUUCCUUGUCGGGUAAGUUCCGACCUGCACGAAUGGCGUAACGACUUCCCAACUGUCUCAACCGCGAACUCGGCAAAAUUGCAUUACGAGUAAAGAUGCUCGUUACGCGCAGCAGGACGGAAAGACCCCGUGACCUUUACUAUAGCUUUGUAUUGGUGUUCGGUGUGGCUUGUGUAGGAUAGGUGGGAGACUUUGAAGCGUGGACGCCAGUUCAUGUGGAGUCAUUGUUGAAAUACCACUCUGGUCACUCUGGAUAUCUAACUUCGAACCGUGAUCCGGUUCAGGGACAGUGCAUGGUGGGUAGUUUAACUGGGGCGGUUGCCUCCCAAAAAGUAACGGAGGCGCCCAAAGGUUCCCUCAACCUGGUUGGCAAUCAGGUGUCGAGUGUAAGUGCACAAGGGAGCUUGACUGUGAGACUGACAGGUCGAGCAGGGACGAAAGUCGGGACUAGUGAUCCGGCAGUGGCUUGUGGAAGCGCUGUCGCUCAACGGAUAAAAGGUACCUCGGGGAUAACAGGCUGAUCUUGCCCAAGAGUCCAUAUCGACGGCAUGGUUUGGCACCUCGAUGUCGGCUCGUCGCAUCCUGGGGCUGGAGUAGGUCCCAAGGGUUGGGCUGUUCGCCCAUUAAAGCGGUACGCGAGCUGGGUUUAGAACGUUGUGAGACAGUUCGGUCCCUAUCCGCUGCGCGCGUAGGAAGUUUGAGAGGAUCUGACCCUAGUACGAGAGGACCGGGUUGGACGAACCUCUGGUGUGCCAGUUGUUCCGCCAGGAGCACCGCUGGUUAGCUACGUUCGGGAUGGAUAACCGCUGAAAGCAUCUAAGCGGGAAGCCGGCCUCAAGAUGAGACUUCCAUACCUUCGGGUGAGAGGCUCCCAGCCAGACUACUGGGUUGAUAGGCCAGAUGUGUAAGCGUGGCAACACGUGCAGCUGACUGGUACUAAUAAGCCGAUGACUC
rnacentral:rRNA from 1 species